UGUGCAAGGAGAAGGAAGGAAUGAAGGGCUAUACGACGGAGGGGAGUGUCCACGACAAGAGGAGAUGUUGUCCGACAUAGGCCCAGUGGUUAUUAGCAAGAAAUGGACGAGGAAAGCAACUGUGCACAGAUGCAUUGCAAAAGCAGCGCAGGAUACCGAAGGAUUUUGUACUGAAGGAUCCAGACGGGUAUAGGAGGUAGGGAGAUGCUUUGGGGAUACGGCGGAAGUGGGCCAGACACGAGAAGGUGCAUUGCAAACCAGUGCCAGGAUGGCCAUUGAGAAGACUCAGAGGAGAGAAGACAGAGUAGCUGUACAGCGACAAGCGUGACGUCGCCGGAAACGAAUUCUUCGCUCUAGAAAAAGUGCGGCGGGGAUCUCUCCAGUUGUGCACAUAAGGGAGGAGAGAUGAGGAGAGAUAGAAGUCACGACAUUUGGCAAAGCGAUGUACUUACAGCGACACGGUGAGGGGGAGCAGGGCACCUCAGUAAGAAGGUGCAGGCACUUCGAUUUGAAGUGCAUUCACUUCGGUGAGAAGAAGUGAAGUUGCACGCGGAUGAGGGGGUAACAAUUCGGAUUACUGUCUUGCAGUCGUACGGGGAGCGGGGGGGGGGGGGGGGGGGGGAAAAACUAGAAGUUGUCGGGAUGGAUCUGGAAGAAUUCAGCGUACCCUCCAAUGGGCUGGAGGGGAGAUUGUUGGGGCCAGCCCAAUGAAGGCCCAAAACCAAAGCCCAACCCAUGAAGGGCCAGCCCAAAGCCUGCAAAUCCUUACAUUCAUUCAUCUUCCAGAAGCGCCAUUCUUAAAUCAGAGACAAAGUCUCUGAUUUAGGCGGAGGAAAAAAGUUGGCAAGGAGAGAAGAAAGAGAAAUAUCAACAAGAGCUGCGAAGAAGCUCAAAGAGAGCAUGUUGAGCUAGGCCGAGUGUCUGAGACAGAUCGUCUCUUCUGGGUUCUGGCAUAUAAAUACAGAGAGGUGCGAUUUUGCCAGAGAGUAAGGAGCAGUGGGGUGCCAGAGAAAUGUAAGGGGUUGGGGGCUUGUUGGGGGCACACACAGAAUGAUGUGUUGACAGAGGUGAAGAUGGGGGAGUGCUAGUGAGAGCACCGAGAGCACAGAGCUCUGACAGAGAGUGAUCUAGAAUUGGGGCGUUGAAAUCUGAGAGAAGAGCCAGUGAGGAUUAAGAUAUGAGAGAUGGAGAGUGUGAGAGGUGAGGGAGAUGAGCUCCUCCCUUUAUUGUACUCAUUGUAAUUCAUUCGUGUGAUAGUGAAUUAAUUGUUCCUCUCCGUGGAUGUAGGCAGAUUGCUGGAACCACGUAUAUAUCUGUGUCUCAUGUGUGUGGUUGAUGUUGGUGGAGUGACUGGUAACUCGUUUUGGGCACAACAGAUCCUGGGAUUACUAAGUGCCUUGGAGCUCUGAGGGCCUGAUUGUAGAGUCGAGACACAGAGUUGGUAAUAGGGUGUCGUCUUGCAUGUUUCGCUUAUCGGAUCAUUCUGACUUGUGUCGGAGCUUUCGAUUAAGGGUAGGAGGAUGGUGAGAAGAACGAAGAAAGAUGUGAGAGAGGUUGAGGUACUCUUCAUUGUUUGGGUAUUGCUAUUGCACAAGAAAAAAACAGGGGGUUGAAAAGGAGAAGAUUGUUCAAUAGAUGGUAUUCAGGCCAAGCCUCCUAGCUCUUUUAUAGGAAACCCGUGUUAUGUGCACUCUUUAAUACAAAGCAAAUAUUUGUAUCUGACACUUGAUCUUCAAUUAGAGAUUUGAUGAAUCCACCUGAAACUCAUACACAAUCGAAUCCAUGUGAUAACAUAGGAC
rnacentral:lncRNA from 1 species